AAAAAGAUAAGCUAAAUAAGCUAUUGGGUUCAUACCCCGCUUAUAAAGGUUCCCCCACCCCUUUUCUUUUUA
rnacentral:tRNA from 1 species